UACGUAGGUGGCAAGCGUUGUCCGGAUUUACUGGGCGUAAAGAGCACGCAGGCGGUCGUUCAAGUCGCGUGUGAAAGCCCCCGGCUCAACUGGGGAGGGUCACGCGAUACUGAUCGACUCGAAGGCAGGAGAGGGUAGUGGAAUUCCCGGUGUAGUGGUGAAAUGCGUAGAGAUCGGGCGGAACACCAGCGGCGAAGGCGGCAUCCUGGUCCUGUUCUGACGCUGAGGCGCGAGAGCGUGGGGAGCGAACUGG
rnacentral:rRNA from 1 species